rnacentral:rRNA from 1 species
AAGUCGUAACAAGGUUUCCGUAGGUGAACCUGCGGAAGGAUCAUUACAAAAUCCGGUGAGGCCACCUGGCACACAUCGUAUUCAUUCACUCUGAGUAUCUUUCCUGUUGCUUCCGUGGGGUUUGGCGAGUAGCACGCUCCUCCGCCUUGUUCUCUUGGGUGGAUUCCCGAGGACGCCCCGCGGAAGGGAAGCACCGCAACGCCUUUGAAUACCGAUAGAUUUUGGUCUGAUCUUGUUUUGAAGAAACAUUAAAACUUUCAGCAACGGAUCUCUUGGUUCUCGCAUCGAUGAAGAACGCAGCGAAAUGCGAAAAGUAGUGUGAAUUGCAGAAUUCAGUGAAUCAUCGAAUCUUUGAACGCACAUUGCGCCUCGCGGUAUUCCGCGAGGCAUGCCUGUUCGAGCGUCAUUAAAAACCGUUCAAGCCUUCAUUGCUUGGUUGUGGUGGAUGAGAACYGCCCCCAAGGUAUCUCACCUCCCAAACUAAAUGGCUGAGUACAAAAGCCGAGUUGCACAGAGCGUCGUAGGUGUUUGCACAGAUCCUCCUCAGUGCGCGGUGAAACUCUUGCCGAAUCAAYGUCGAGUAGUAUACUUCAGUUUGACCUCGGAUCAGGUAGGGAUACCCGCUGAACUUAA